rnacentral:rRNA from 1 species
GAUUAGAUACCGUCGUAGUCACAACCCUAUACUAUGCGGACUAGUGGUUGAGUUUUGGCAGAUAUGAAAGUUUUUGGACUCUGGGGGAAGUAUGAUCGCAGAUUGAAACUUAAAGGAAUUGACGGAAAGGCACCACAAGGGGUGGAGCGUGCGGCUUAAUUUGACUCAACGCGGGGAAACUUACUAGGGUAGGACAUUAAAAUGAUUGACAAAUUGCUUGAUUUUUCUUGAUAUGGUGGGUGGUGGUGCAUGGCCGAUCUUAGUUGGUGGGGUGACUUGUCUGGUUAAUUCCGAUAACGAACGAGAUCCGAGCAGUUUUGUUGCGUUCCAAAAUGGACCAAUAGAAUAAUGGGAAGUUUCGGGCUAAAUCAGGUCUGUGAUGCCCUUCGAUACUCUGGGCUGCACGCGCGCUACAUUGGAUGAUAGAGCGUGUACGGCCUAACGGCUGUGUGAAUCACAAAUGUCAUUUCGUGAAUGGGAUAGUUUAUUGUAAUUGACGAACUUGAACUAGGAAUCCCUUGUAAGUACUUUGAAUCAUAAUGUAUUGAAUACGUCCCUGCCUUUUGUACACACCGCCCGUCGUUUCUUCCGACUGAUACUCAUUGUGAAUUGCGGGGCAUAACCGCUGUGAAUGCUGGGUAUUGGAGGAAGAAAAAGUUGUAACAAGGUUAUCGUAGGUGAACCUGCAGAAGGAUCA